rnacentral:rRNA from 1 species
GACGAACGCUGGCGGCGUGCCUAACACAUGCAAGUCGAACGGAGAAUCAGCAAUGAUUCUUAGUGGCGAACGGGUGAGUAACGCGUAGACAACCUGCCUUCUAGAUGGGGACAACACUGCGAAAGUGGUGCUAAUACCGAAUGUUGUAUUAAGCCUGCAUGGGCUUGAUACUAAAGGUGGCCUCUAUUUAUAAGCUAUCACUAGAAGAUGGGUCUGCGUCUGAUUAGCUAGUUGGUGAGGUAAUGGCUCACCAAGGCGAUGAUCAGUAGCCGGUCUGAGAGGAUGAACGGCCACACUGGGACUGAGACACGGCCCAGACUCCUACGGGAGGCAGCAGUGGGGAAUCUUCCGCAAUGGACGAAAGUCUGACGGAGCAACGCCGCGUGAGUGAAGAAGGUUUUCGGAUCGUAAAGCUCUGUCUUUGAGGACGAAUGUGUCUAAUGUGAAUAAUGUUAGAUAAUGACGGUACUCGAGGAGGAAGCCACGGCUAACUACGUGCCAGCAGCCGCGGUAA